GAGGAGGAGGAGGAAGUAGUCGAAACCUCCAACAACUCUGAUUUUGAAGUUGCGGAGGACUUCGAACUCAAGGCCCAACCAUUUGAUAAGGUUGGGUCAUCCUCUGGAUCAUUGAAGUGUGCAGCAGAAGAUGAUCUUGAAGCUGCACUUGCUCUGCCACUGAGGAAGAAACGAACUGUUGCUGCGAAGCGUGCCGUGAGGAAGCCUCUCAC
rnacentral:lncRNA from 1 species